rnacentral:rRNA from 1 species
AUGGCGCCGGCGAGCGCCCCCUGCAUCGACCACGGGCGUCGGCCGAGGACCAGCCACAAGGUGAUCGCUUCCACCCCGGAGAUGGAGCAGCAGGUCUUCCUGCUGCAGCAGCACGCGGUGGUGGUCACCGCGAUGUCGAAGCUGCACGCGGCCAGCCCCCUCUCCAUCGGCCGGGCCAUCGAGCGGGAGUUUCAGAUCCCCCCGCACCUCCUCCGCGUCACCAGCCAUGAUCUCGAAGAUUUCUUCGUCCACUUCACCAUGCCGACGCACAAGGAUCUCGCCGUCCGUCGCGGCUCGAUC